GAAAAAAAAAAAACAGACGGAUAUCGUCUUCUGAAGAAACAACGACUACGCAGAAACUACAGCUUCUUGCAAACCUCAGUGACGAUUGGGGAAAAAAAACACGAAAGCAAUGUGAGGUCAUGAAGGUGUCCUGGACUUCCCCAAGUAAACGGAGCUGCUCCCAGGUCUCUUCUCCAAACUUCUCGACCACUAAUGUUCUCAAACAUGUGUUAAUGAAGCCGUACUGCCACGAAAGAGAAAAUAUGGAUGGCCAAAAUCAAACUACUGUAUACGUUUAUCACUGUAUAAAUCACACACACAUACAAAGUAUUACUAAUAUCAAUUAUAUUUCCAUAUUUGAUUCGCCAAAUGUGAGCCAGUCAUCAUAUUUAAUAAAACAAAAUGAUAAGUACAACACAAACUAUAGAGAAACUGUAUUAUAGAUAAUCUGGACACACUAAUGAUGUUCACAGCUUUUCAUUUUCACUCAGAAUAAUAUGUAUUUACUCAGCAAUUAGAACGUCCUUACCAUUGUGACUGUCGUGUUGUGGAUGGAGCUGCUACUGUCACUAGGCGGAAGAAUGGACGCUGCGGAUGGGCUUUACGUUGCGGCCAAGUACGCACUUUCACAUGGACCCUUCAUUAGCAAAUCAAACUCCUCCUUCCAGUUGUGGGCAUACACACACACACACACACACACACACACUUCAUAGAGGUUGCUGUAGUUAAUUACUGCUCUGAGAAGGAAAAUGUAAUAAGGAUUGUAAUGUAAUUACAUAUUUCUAAUUAUUUUGAUAAUUGCAUUUACACUGCAGUUGCGCUCUCUCUCUCUCUCUCUCUCUCUCUCUCUCUCCUCUCGAUGUUCAACUGUUGACUCUUUAGUUGUUGUCUGUUGUCUCUAUCUAUCUAUCUAUCUAUCUAUCUAUCUAUCUAUCUAUCUAUCUAUCUAUCUAUCUAUCUAUCUAUCUAUCUAUCCAUCUAUCCAUCUAUUCUUUUCUGUCUUUCUUCCUUCCCUCUCUCCUUCCUUCCCUCCCUCCAUGGUAUUAGGCUCUACUGUAAUUUGUUUCAUAUAUAAAUAAAGUAUCUAUCUUUCCUUCUUUUUUCUUGUAAAUUUACCAUUGGGAUGAAUAAAGUAUCCAUCCAUCCAUCCAUCCAUCCAUCCAUUCUUUCUUUCUUUUUUUCCUUCCUUCCCUCCUUCCUUAUUCCUUCCCUUCAUGGUAUUAGGCUACUUUUAUUUCAGAUUUUCUGAAAUAUUGGUUCGACGAAUCUUUUUGUUUGACUUUUCUUCCAGGGGAAAAACAAAAGACUCCAUGUACAGAUUGAAACUUGCCUAAUUGUUAACUUCCCCAUCAUAACUCUUCAGUAAAAGGUUUCGGUUUUCUACCCACAAGCCAACACCAGUCUGCUGGCUAUGUUUGAAUGUGGUUGUACAAAAUAAAAGGCUGGAAAGUCCUAAGAAAUUGAGAUCUCCCAAAAGCCCCAGAGAUUUUAUGAGAACUCCGAUUUAAUGGGAAAUCGUGUUGGGUUAAUAUUUAGCUAUUGCUCUGACUAACCUGCCAUAAAGCUGGGUAUAAAAGCUAAACAAGGGCGGUGUGAAUCCUCACAACUCCUGACUCAUCCCUGACUAACACCUCAACCACCUACAAGAUGCUUUGUGAAAUCUCUCUCUGGCGCAUGGGCAUCCAGGAGCACCGCCACCAUAAAGAGAAUGACUCCAGAGGCAUAGUCCUGCGUGAAAUCCCACCAGACCACGGACACUCUACAGACGGAAAUGUACGCUUCAA